rnacentral:rRNA from 1 species
GUGGGGAAUAUUGCACAAUGGGGGAAACCCUGAUGCAGCCAUGCCGCGUGUGUGAAGAAGGCCUUCGGGUUGUAAAGCACUUUCAGUAGGGAGGAAAGGGUGAGUCUUAAUACGGCUCAUCUGUGACGUUACCUACAGAAGAAGGACCGGCUAACUCCGUGCCAGCAGCCGCGGUAAUACGGAGGGUCCGAGCGUUAAUCGGAAUUACUGGGCGUAAAGCGUGCGCAGGCGGUUUGUUAAGCGAGAUGUGAAAGCCCUGGGCUCAACCUAGGAAUAGCAUUUCGAACUGGCGAACUAGAGUCUUGUAGAGGGGGGUAGAAUUCCAGGUGUAGCGGUGAAAUGCGUAGAGAUCUGGAGGAAUACCGGUGGCGAAGGCGGCCCCCUGGACAAAGACUGACGCUCAUGCACGAAAGCGUGGGGAGCAAACAGGAUUAGAAACCCCUGUAGUCC